rnacentral:rRNA from 1 species
UACACUCCUGCGGGAGGCAGCAGUGGGGAAUUUUGGACAAUGGGCGAAAGCCUGAUCCAGCCAUGCCGCGUGCAGGAUGAAGGCCUUCGGGUUGUAAACUGCUUUUGUACGGAACGAAACGGCCUUUUCUAAUAAAGAGGGCUAAUGACGGUACCGUAAGAAUAAGCACCGGCUAACUACGUGCCAGCAGCCGCGGUAAUACGUAGGGUGCAAGCGUUAAUCGGAAUUACUGGGCGUAAAGCGUGCGCAGGCGGUUAUGUAAGACAGUUGUGAAAUCCCCGGGCUCAACCUGGGAACUGCAUCUGUGACUGCAUAGCUAGAGUACGGUAGAGGGGGAUGGAAUUCCGCGUGUAGCAGUGAAAUGCGUAGAUAUGCGGAGGAACACCGAUGGCGAAGGCAAUCCCCUGGACCUGUACUGACGCUCAUGCACGAAAGCGUGGGGAGCAAACAGGAUUAGAAACCCUUGUAGUCCCA